rnacentral:siRNA from 1 species
UUUUAUUUUCGUGUUUGGGCC